UCGAGAAUAAUUCACAAUGGGGGAAACCCUGAUGGUGCAACGCCGCGUGGAGGAUGAAGGUCUUCGGAUUGUAAACUCCUGUCAUCUGGGAGUAAGACCUGGGCGUGAAUAGCGCACAGGGUUGAUAGUACCAGAAGAGGAAGGGACGGCUAACUUCGUGCCAGCAGCCGCGGUAAUACGAAGGUCCCAAGCGUUGUUCGGAAUCACUGGGCGUAAAGGGUGCGUAGGCGGUUUGGUAAGUCAGAUGUGAAAUCCCGGGGCUCAACCCCGGAACUGCAUCCGAUACUGCCAGACUAGAGGACUGGAGAGGUGACUGGAAUUCUCGGUGUAGCAGUGAAAUGCGUGGAUAUCGAGAGGAACACUCGUGGCGUAAGCGAGUCACUGGACAGUAUCUGACGCUGAGGCACGAAGGCCAGGGUAGCGAAAG
rnacentral:rRNA from 1 species